rnacentral:lncRNA from 1 species
UAAGAAGUGGCUUAACCAUUUAGACUUUCAGUGGUUUUAUGUUCUUGGAUUGUUAACUGUAAGUCUUUGAGUUCGCUACCUCUACAUGAAUUAAUUCAAGAUUAUUGGAAAAAUUGUAUUCUUAAAGCAGGGUAAUCUUUGACUAGAUCGAUAGAUGCAUAUGAAGUUAAUAGCUUAUUGCUAUUUGUUUGCAAUAUUCUUAAUAUUCAAUCAAAUACUCCUCCAAUCUUUUUGUCUUGAAGCAGAAAUCAAUGGAUAAAUAAGAAAUACCAGAUGUGUUUAUUUGUUAUCAAGGAAAAGGCAAAAGAAAACAAAAAGUGGUUGGUGGUGGCCACUUCUGCAGUCUGCUUGAAAAUAGUGUAGUUGAAAUUUGCUUCAGGGAGAAAAUGGGAUCAGAUUCCUUUCUCUAUCAGGAUCUGAUUUAUUCUGGUAUUUGGAGAUCUUUCCACUUCCUUUUCCACCUCUCAGAGUAUAAAGAAAAAAGAAUUCCUCUGAACCAAAUUCUUGAAGCAAUGAGUAUCCAAUUUAUCUGUUUUUCAUAAAAAGCAGUUAACUGGUCUCUGCCAUACAUUUCCUUGGAGCUAAAUGGACCCUUAAUGGUAAAUCAAGCAAUGUUUCUUGAACUAAAAGUUUCAGAAGCUACUUAGUCUAUUGUUGUGCUUUGUUGAUGCUUACUUUUCAGAAAUAAUAGAUAUUUUGGUCUUUUUAUUAGGAUUCUAGCCAGGAAAUGGGGCUAGAUUUUGUAGUUACUGUUUCAUCAUGUGCAUUCAUGAUCAUAAAAUAUCACCCACACUUAUGCCCAAUUGUUUUACAGGUUCUGAGGCAAUGUUUGCAGAUCUUUGCUAUUUCUCUGUAGGAUCUGUUCAGGCAAUGAAUUACACACUGUGCUUUGGAUACUUUCUUUCUGUUGCAGCUUCUUAAACAUCCUCAGACCUCUUUUUAACUUUUGACAUUCUGAUUGCUUUAAGUAAUUAUUGCAGCUAACUUUUGUGUUUUUGGUUCUGCCCUGCCUUCUGUUGGGAUACCUUGGCCAAGCUGCAUUCCUUAUGGAAAAUCUAACUACCUCUGAGCAGGUCUUCUUUUCGUCCAUCCCAAGUAAGCUGGAGAUUUAUUUAAAUAUAUGCAUUGCUAUGUUUAACAAGUAGAUAAACCAUGUUUCGGUAAUU